rnacentral:rRNA from 1 species
CCUACGGGUGACAGCAGUGAGGAAUAUUGGUCAAUGGGCGCGAGUCUGAACCAGCCAAGUAGCGUGAAGGAUGACUGCCCUAUGGGUUGUAAACUUCUUUUAUAUGGGAAUAAAACGUUCCACGUGUGGGAUUUUGUAUGUACCAUAUGAAUAAGGAUCGGCUAACUCCGUGCCAGCAGCCGCGGUAAUACGGAGGAUCCGAGCGUUAUCCGGAUUUAUUGGGUUUAAAGGGAGCGUAGGUGGAUUGUUAAGUCAGUUGUGAAAGUUUGCGGCUCAACCGUAAAAUUGCAGUUGAAACUGGCAGUCUUGAGUACAGUAGAGGUGGGCGGAAUUCGUGGUGUAGCGGUGAAAUGCUUAGAUAUCACGAAGAACUCCGAUUGCGAAGGCAGUUCACUGGACUGCAACUGACACUGAGGCUCGAAAGUGUGGGUAUCAAACAGGAUUAGAUACCCCAGUAGUC